GACGAACGCUGGCGGCGUGCCUAAUACAUGCAAGUCGAACGCACUCUCGUUUAGAUUGAAGGAGCUUGCUCCUGAUUGAUAAACAUUUGAGUGAGUGGCGGACGGGUGAGUAACACGUGGGUAACCUGCCCUAAAGUGGGGGAUAACAUUUGGAAACAGAUGCUAAUACCGCAUAAAACCUAACACCGCAUGGUGUAGGGUUGAAAGAUGGUUUCGGCUAUCACUUUAGGAUGGACCCGCGAUGCAUUAGUUAGCUGGUGAGGUAAAGGCUCACCAAGACCGUGAUGCAUAGCCGACCUGAGAGGGUAAUCGGCCACACUGGGACUGAGACACGGCCCAGACUCCUACGGGAGGCAGCAGUAGGGAAUCUUCCACAAUGGACGAAAGUCUGAUGGAGCAACGCCGCGUGAGUGAAGAAGGUUUCGGAUCGUAAAACUCUGUUGUUGGAGAAGAAUGUAUCUGAUAGUAACUGAUCAGGUAGUGGCGGUAUCCAACC
rnacentral:rRNA from 1 species